UACGAAGGGGGCUAGCGUUGUUCGGAAUUACUGGGCGUAAAGGGCGCGUAGGCGGUACUUCAAGUCAGGCGUGAAAGCCCGGGGCUCAACCCCGGAGGUGCGGCCGAGACUGCAGGGCUGGAGGCCGGAAGAGGAGGGUGGAAUACCCAGUGUAGAGGUGAAAUUCGUAGAUAUUGGGUGGAACACCGGUGGCGAAAGCGGCUCUCUGGUCCGGACCUGACGCUGACAGCGCGAAAGCUAGGGGAGCGAACGGG
rnacentral:rRNA from 1 species